rnacentral:sRNA from 1 species
ACGAGCCACAUGCAGGGAAACUGCAACGUGUGGUUCUGGCCGGGGACUCACGGUAU